CCAAUAGCGUAUAUUAAAGUUGUUGCAGUUAAAAAGCUCGUAGUUGAAUUUCGGGGUUAGUAAGUUGGUCAUGCCACUGGUAUGUACUGGCUUUACUGAUUCCUCCUUCUUGUAGAACCGUAAUGCCAUUAAGUUGGUGUUGCGGGGAAACAGGACUGUUACUUUGAAAAAAUUAGUGUUUAAAGCAAGCUAACGCUUGAAUACAUUAGCAUGGAAUAAUGAAAUAGGACGUUCGAUCCUAUUUUGUUGGUUUCUAGGAUUGACGUAAUGAUUAAUAGGGAUAGUUGGGGGCAUUAGUAGUCAAUUGUCAGAGAUGAAAUUCUUGGAUUUAUUGAAGACUAACUACUGCGAAAGCAUUUGCCAAGGAUGUUUUCAUUAAUCAAGAACGAAAGUUAGGGGAUCGAAGACGAUCAGAUACCGUCGUAUUCUUAACCAUAAACUAUGCCGACUAGGGAUCGGAUGAUGUUAAUUUUAUAAUGACUCAUUCGGCGCCUUACA
rnacentral:misc_RNA from 1 species